AUACUUGGCAGGGGAGACACCAUGAUCACGAAGGUGGUUCUCCCAGGGCGAGGCUCGGCCAUUGCACUCCGGCUGUGCUGACCCCUGCGAUUUCCCCAAAUGCGGGAAAGUCGACUGCAUAAUUUGAAUGAGAGUAAAUUCCUUAGUAAAUAGGUGUUAUA